rnacentral:rRNA from 1 species
GGCGCACGGGUGAGUAACGCGUAUGUAACCUGCCCGCAACAGGGGGAUAACCCGGCGAAAGUCGGACUAAUACCGCAUAAAACAGGGGUCCCGCAUGGGAAUAUUUGUUAAAGAUUUAUCGGUUGCGGAUGGGCAUGCGUACCAUUAGGUAGUUGGUGAGGUAACGGCUCACCAAGCCUUCGAUGGUUAGGGGUUCUGAGAGGAAGGUCCCCCACACUGGUACUGAGACACGGACCAGACUCCUACGGGAGGCAGCAGUGAGGAAUAUUGGUCAAUGGGCGAGAGCCUGAACCAGCCAAGUCGCGUGAAGGAUGACUGCCCUAUGGGUUGUAAACUUCUUUUACAAGGGAAUAAAAUGGGAUACGUGUAUUUUAUUGCAUGUACCUUGGGAAUAAGCAUCGGCUAACUCCGUGCCAGCAGCCGCGGUAAUACGGAGGAUGCGAGCGUUAUCCGGAUUUAUUGGGUUUAAAGGGUGCGUAGGUGGGCUGUUAAGUCAGCGGUGAAAGUUUGUCCCUUAACGAUAAAAUUGCCGUUGAAACUGGUAGUCUUGAGUAUAGAUGAAGUAGGCGGAAUGCGUGGUGUAGCGGUGAAAUGCAU